CAGUAGCCACGGGAAUACAGAGGGUGCAAGCGUUAAUCGGAAUUACUGGGCGUAAAGCGCGCGUAGGUGGUUCGCCAAGUUGGAUGUGAAAUCCCCGGGCUCAACCUGGGAACUGCAUCCAAAACUGGCGAGCUAGAGUAUGGUAGAGGGUGGUGGAAUUUCCUGUGUAGCGGUGAAAUGCGUAGAUAUAGGAAGGAACAUCAGUGGCGAAGGCGACCACCUGGACUGAUACUGACACUGAGGUGCGAAAGCGUGGGGAGCAAACAGGAUUAGAUACCCCCGUAGUCCCUGUCUCUUAUAC
rnacentral:rRNA from 1 species